AUCCAGCUGAUGAGUCCGAAUUAGGACGAAACACGCGUCCUGGAU
rfam:Schistosoma curassoni strain Dakar, Senegal genome assembly, scaffold: SCTD_scaffold0000116